GACGUAGGGGGCCAGCGUUGUUCGGAAUUCCUGGGUGUAAAGGGUUCGUAGGCGGUGCGGCAAGUUGGGAGUGAAAUCUCUGGGCUUAACCCAGAGGCUGCUUCCAAAACUGCUGUGCCUGAGUGUGGGAGAGGCGCGUGGAAUUGCAGGUGUAGCGGUGAAAUGCGUAGAUAUCUGCAGGAACACCCGUGGCGAAAGCGGCGCGCUGGACCACUACUGACGCUGAGGAACGAAAGCUAGGGGAGCAAACAGG
rnacentral:rRNA from 1 species